rnacentral:rRNA from 1 species
AUUGAACGCUGGCGGCGUGCUUAACACAUGCAAGUCGAUCGGUAACAGGUGUAGCAAUACAUGCUGACGAGAGGCGGACGGGUGAGUAAUGCUUGGGAAUCUGCCUAUUAGUGGGGGACAACCCGGGGAAACUCGGGCUAAUACCGCAUACGCUCUACGGAGGAAAGCCGGGGACCGCAAGGCCUGGCGCUAAUAGAUGAGCCCAAAUCGGAUUAGCUAGUUGGAGGGUAACGGCCUACCAAGCGACAAUCCGUAGCUGGUCUGAGAGGACGACCAGCCACACCGGAACUGAGACACAGUCCGGACUCCUACGGGAGGCAGCAGUGGGGAAUAUUGGACAAUGGGGGCAACCCUGAUCCAGCGACGCCGCGUGGGUGAAGAAGGCCUGCGGGUUGUAAAGCCC